rnacentral:rRNA from 1 species
UACGUAGGGUGCGAGCGUUGUCCGGAAUUAUUGGGCGUAAAGGGCUCGUAGGCGGUCUGUCACGUCGGGAGUGAAAACUCGGGGCUUAACUCCGAGCCUGCUUCUGAUACGGGCAGACUAGAGGUAUGCAGGGGAGAAUGGAAUUCCUGGUGUAGCGGUGAAAUGCGCAGAUAUCAGGAGGAACACCGGUGGCGAAGGCGGUCGACCUGGGUCC